UGAAGGAGGGGGAUGAGAUUGAGAAAGGCAGUGUUACCGGUCUUCUCAGCGUGCAUUCUGAUAGUCCUCUUCAUCAUAGUGUUCUUUCCCAUUAGCACAACGGAGUCUCCACGCAGACCCCUACGAAUGUUCUGGAGUUGAUUGGACCCCACGUUGUCGGCGGCCGCCACCAAGAUUUGGGUGUACUCUUCCAGCAACUGGCAUAGCUUCGCGUCGUACGCGAUCUUCUUCUCGGCCUUCGAUGCUUUCACUACCAUUUCGUGGAUUUGGUUCUACUUUUGUUGGUGGUAAAAAGUUGUAAAUUUAUACAAAAUCGAGGGCCAAGACGAAGCAGCGGCUUGCCAAGGCGGACAGCAGCGGAGUUGCCGUCUCUUUAACCUCAACGAGAUACAAAGAGAGUGAAAGAAGUGUACAAGAAAAACCCUAGUAUUAUCUGGGAGGCUAAUAAGAAGGAAAAAUGAAAUUGGCGUCGGUUUUAUAAUGGAUGAGUUGCAGAGACAGUGAGGGCUUCAUUGUGACCCUAGAUCGGACGGCUGGGAUUGUUUUUUUUUUUUUUUUUUCUACGUUUGGGGACCAAUAUGGGCCGAGCUUGGGCUUCACUAGGCAAGCCAUCAAAUAUCAAAUGUAAGCCCAUUUCUUUAAAAACAGUGUGUUUGAGCUUUAACUUAUUUUUGGUUGCAUAAAUUUAAAAUUAGUAGCUUAUGUCAAUGAGCAAUGACUAAAGAUUUUUCUUUUUUUCAAUUUCUCGUUAAGUAUGUAUAUGGGUAAGGAAAAAUCUUAGAUGGGAUGGGCAUGGUACCUCUAUUUAAUAAAUUGUUGUUAGCCAUACAUUAUUUCAAAAUCGAUCAAUUAUAUUUAUGAUCAUUAUUAUGAUAAAGGGGAAAAAAAUUGAAAUAUGUGCAAUAAUUCUAUUUGAUAGUCAUAUUAAGACCCUCAUACCCCAAGAGUUUCUUGUAGAUAAAAAGUAAAUAGUCACACCUUAGAUCAUAUGUACCUGCCGCAUUGAUUCAGGUUAAUAGUUGUUUGGCUCGACUUUGAUCUAGGUUAAAAUAUGAUGGUAAUUUCUUCUUAAACAAUGAGCAACAAUUUUUCAAACAAUUUUUUUUUUAAUUCUACUAAAAUGUUAGGACCAAUCUUAAUCAACACAAUAAUAAGAAGCAUAACCAUAAAUUGAUUUAGAGAGAAAGUUAGUUCAUUAAAACUCAAAUUUAUCUAUACUUUAGUAUUAGUAAAUAUUGAAUUUCUAUGCUUAAACUUUAAGAAAAGACGUGAAAACUACUUAAUAGUGAUUUUUUUUUUGGUUAAACAACUUAACAACUUACAUUUUCCAUACAUAUAAACAUUUACUACAAUUUAUAAAGCUAUGUUCUUGAAAAAAUGUGCCACCAAAAAGUUUAUUUAUUAAUCUUUAAAAAAAAGGAAAAUGAUGAGAGUGGAACAUUUAAACAUUAUAGCACUGUAACAAGUUGGAAAUUGAUCGCAUUUUUUAACUUUUUAUUUUUUAUUUUUUAAAUAAAUACAGUAAAAUGGAAAUAAAGCGGGUUGCAUAAAGUUGUUCGUUUGAGAUCCAAAGGACCGGUCCCCGCCAAGCAACGGUAUCUUUACUUAAUUUUAUAUUUCUCGCACAACGAAUUCAUUCCCAUCGUGCACCGUCCGAUCAGACACCAUUUGCCUAAUGGCGUCCCCGUACAGAGAUCGGACGGCUGAGUUCCGAUCUCUGUCCCAAACUCUGAAGAAGAUCGGAGGCACCACGACAGCCGUAGAUCAACCAAACAACUCCUUCGUUUCCCCGAAACCUCCGAAUCCAGCCUCUUCUAGAUCCGAAUUCAACAAGAAGGCUUCUUGCAUCGGGUUGGGCAUCCAUGAAGCCUCCCAAAAAAUCGCUAGACUUGCCAAAUGUAAACCCUUUCUCUCUUUUUUUUUUUUUUUUAAUUAGUUGUUUUAUUUUUCACAAUGGAAUUUUUAAAUUUUUAAUAAAGUUUAAUUUUUUUAUUUUGAAUAUUAAUGAAUAGAUUUAGGCAAUGUUUGGUAUCUAAGAAGGAAAUUGAUUAUCGAACUAGGAGUAAAUUAGAGAAGCUCAUUUUGAGAAAGCACCCGUUGAAUCAACCAGCUGAAGCAUCUUGUGCUCAUUCUAAUGAAUUGGCUUCUUGUUUAGUUGUUACUUAAUUGUAUUAUAAAUUAUUGAUUGGUAGAAUGAAUACAAGAUUAUUAGGCAUAAAGAAAAUAAAAGUUCGCGUUCACUCUUUAAUAGUGUGCUGUUUGUUAACAUUCUAAUGGCAAGGACACAAUGGAUUAUUAAAUGCUUGUAAGUGAUCCGAAUGGUUAAAAAAAGUUUCUUCUAGGGAGCAUGUAUCAAAGUUUUAAUUUAAAAGAAGCUUCUUUGAUCUCAAACUUUGCUUCUUCUUUUUUUUAAGUUUCGAUCAAACACUGGAAAUGUAAUUUCUUUUUAGUGAUGCUAUGUUGACCUUAGGUUUUGAUUUAAUGUAGUGGCAAAAAGGUCAUCGAUGUUUGAUGAUCCAAUUGUGGAGAUACAGGAGUUGACUGCUUUGAUAAAGGAUGACAUUACAGCUCUCAACAUGGCUCUUUCAGAUUUGCAAACCCUUCAAAACUUGGAGAUUGUGGAGGGAAAUUAUUCUCAGGACAGAGUUGUGCAUUCGACUACUGUCUGUGAUGACUUGAAGAGCAAGCUCAUGGGUGCUACUAAAGAACUUCAAGAUGUUUUAACCACAAGAACUGAGGUUUUUAUUCCCCUGAAUAUAGCUUUUUUGGUUCAUUUGUUUGCCACUGUUUCUCUUAUUUUAAUGUUUGUAUUGUUUAUUUUCUGUAUAGAAUAUAAAAGCUCAUGAAAGCAGGAAACAAAUUUUUUCUGCAAAUGCAUUGAGAGAUAGCCCAUUUAGACAGCAUGCACAACCUGUUACUGAGCCCCCACCUUGGUCAAGUCCAGUAAAAGCAUCUGAGAGUUCACAACCAUCAGCGUGAGUUUCCUUUCGGCAGACUAUCUGAAUUCUAUUGGUAGUUCUUCUGUAUGAUGAACUAGUUAUUUAUAUAACGCUGAGUGGCUAUAAUAUGCAUCUAGUUAUUCUUAUGAUGCCCAUUAGCUGUUAUGUGAAUUAAUUACUCUUGUAUAUUAUCGGCAUAUAACCUUGUCUCAAUUUCAAUUUUCGAUGAAGAAAGUGCUAGGAGCUUGAGUUUUCUUUUCUUUUAGAAAAUUUUCAUUUACUUGCAUGUGAUGAUCCAUGGCAAGGUUUACAAAAAGGUUAAUAACAUGGGAAGACUCUGAAAUACCUCUUGUAACAAUGCAGUUUCAUUAUAAUGACAGUUGUCUAUGCCUUAAAUAUAUACCAUAGAGUAUAGACAAAUAGAAAGGGCUAAUUUUGAGUUAAACAAAUGGCCAGAUGGCCCUAUGUCCAGGUGAGAAGGAAACAGAAUGGAAGCAACUUUGAAGUUCGUUUGUGCUAUCUGUAAACUCUGUAUAUGUAGAGUUUCUUGAAAGCCUGUUAUUUUUCCUGUGAUUCGUAACUCAUUUAUAUUGAUAUUAAGAUCUAGCCAUGUGCAUGUUUCCCUUCAUUUAUUUAUAGAUUCAUAGUUUUUCAUUAGUCAUUAUUUGAUUCAUUUCUCCUUUUUUCUUUUUGACCAGAUUGCCGCCAGGUGGAGUCCAAGUUGGAAACCAACUGAGGUAUGUUUUAGGUUUAUGUUUUUUCUAUUAAUUUUGUACAUGUUGACAACUUUUGGUUUUAAUUAAGCAAUUGUAUUAUGUGGCCUUGUUGUGCACCAAUGCUUGGAGAAUUACUAUUUGGGUUAUACUUGCGCCCAUAAAGGUUUAGGGUGUGUUUGGUAUUGUUUUCUGAAAGGUGAUUUUUAUAUUUGUUUUAUAGAAGGAAAAUUUAGUUUUUGUCGUGAUGUAUUUAUAAUUGAAAAUGCAUUUGGUAUUUUUUUUUAAAAUUAAUAUCUAAAAGAAAAAUAGUAAAAUAUGUUUGGUAGUUUGUCUGAAAACAAUAUUAUUAUUGAAAAAGUAAAAAAUUAGAAUAGUAUAUAUUUUAUUUGCAAUAGGGUGGAGUAACAAUUUUUUUUAUUUUACUUGCCACUCAUAAGAUCUGACUACACCAUAAUGAAACAAAUAAAAAAUAUUAAUUUUUAUCAUUUUGUUUUAGGUGUGAGCCUAGUCAAAAUUUAAUGUAAUAUAACCAUUUUGCAAUUUUCAUCCUUUCUUCAACAUCUCUAGAAAACAAGUUGAAGAAAUAAUGGAAUGAAAGUUAAAAACAACUAUUUUACUAUCUUGACCACUAAAUCUCAGGUUGGACCCACGCCUAAAAAAACUAAAUUUAAUGAUUUUUAUUUGUGCAAUUGAAGAUUUGAAGUAAAGUAAAAUCGUAUGGUUUCCCAUGAAGAAUAAAAAAUUGUUAUCCAUUACUUUGCACAUAAACAAUACAAUUCUGAUUAAAUUUUCUACUUUUUGUAUUUUUUUAAUAAUAUUAUAUUAUUAUUUUCAGACAAUCUACCAAAUAUCUUUUUACUAUUUUCAUUUUUAGAUCCCAAAUUACAUGUAUCCUUUAGAGUUGAAACUUUGACCUGUUGUUUCCUCGGAAGAACAUUUUAAGGAAUGACUAAACAUCUUUUUGAAUUUAAAGAAAUCGAAUCAUUUUUAUCUAUAAAACGAUUUCAGAAACCUCAUUUGAAAAGCAAUACCAAAGGCACCUUUAUCUUCUACAUAUACAUGUAAAUUACUCUUAAGCCACUAAACUUAUUCAGAAUGGACAUAUAUCUAACAUCGUUUUAUUUGUCAUUCCAGUUUAUGGUUUUGUAAAUAUUCUAGUUCUCUAAAUUUGAUACAGACUUAUUAGAAUGAAAGAAAUACAUGAAAAAAGAGGGCCGUUAAUUUUUGGUUGGGUAUUUUGUGUAUGGGCAAGGAUGAGGAUAUAGGAAGUCAACAAGAACAAAAUCCAAUAAAGCUGAAGCUAAAAGGUCCAUCACCCUUUCCUCCUUCCACUUUUCUUAUAUCAUUUUUAAAUGAGUGAGUAAUAAACGCCGAAUAUGCAACAAUCUAUAUUUUCAGUGAAUGAUAUCAGAAACCAGUAAAUGUUUGCGUGUAUCUCGCCAAUGAGAUGUCCUAUUGCUUUGAUUAUGUGCUAGUCUCGCAGGUUUCUUUAUUUAUUUAUUUGGACUUGGCACGCUGAAAGUUAUUAUUAUUAUUAUUUUUUUGGCUUGCCAUUUGUUGACGUUUGAUGUGUUGGAUUGGAUCUUGCCUAAACAGACGAAGGCCAGCUGUGGACAAUGCUCCUUCACACCACAUGGAAAUGUCGAUGUUACAGCAGGUAGUUCCACGGCAAGAGAAUUACUCACAAAGUAGGGCAGUGGCUCUUCAUAAUGUUGAAUCUACAAUUACAGAACUCGGUGGGAUCUUCACACAUCUGGCCACAAUGGUAGCACAGCAAGGCGAACUAGCCAUCAGGUCUGUUCACCUUACUAACAUAUUUGAUGUUUGUACAUUUGGCUUUGGAUGUCAAAAGAAUUUACCCAUCCAACUAAUGUGAGCAGGAUUGAUGAUAACAUGGACGAGUCAUUGGCUAAUGUUGAAGGUGCUCGUAAUGCUCUGUUGAGGCAUCUAAACCAAAUUUCAUCAAAUCGAUGGCUUAUGAUCAAGAUUUUUGCCGUCAUAAUAUUUUUUCUGACGGUCUUUAUGUUUUUUGUGGCAUGAAUUGGAAUACCGAGCAUUCAAUAAUUUUGUUGCUGCUGUGCGAGUAUCUAUUUUUCACAAUCCAUUUAUAGCUAGUCAAAUAUGCUUCUUCAUUCUGUAAAUUCGAUCUGCAACUUUUUUUGCUGUAACUAGUAAAAUUUUUAGGAAUCUAGAUAUACUUAAAGAAAGCAUAAUUAGACAUCAGUUCUUUUGUGGGUUGUGAGAAUAUCAAAGGCAAAUUUUAUGCCCAAGUUGAAUUUGUGACUGUAUACUAUUAACUGAUACAAGAGUUAUAUGAUGUCUUGAUGAAUAAGGAUGUUGGUUUUUAUCUUUCCUAUUGCCUCGACCAAAACUUUAAUUUAUAUAGAUGGAGAAAUAUGAAUACACAAAAUAAGGGUUUGACUGAGUGGUUUCGAGCAAUUCUCUUUAGCUGGCCAUGUGAGGUCGAAGUAUUUGUUAAAUGAAGGGUCGGAGACAUAAAGUGAAAAUCAUACAAAUUUAUAUUUUGGGAUACCCUUUUUGGGAUAAAUUAUUUGAUGGCUAACAUUGCAACAACUAAUCACCAACUUGUAUUUUCUUGGUUAAUAUAUUUUGUUUGUAUCCUGGAUUUUCCUUGCAUACCUUCGUGCCCCGUAUGGCAAUUUUAUUUUCCGGACGAAUAAAAUUUGGUUACAGGCUACAAGAUAGCCACGAAAAGGUUGACGUAAAGGGGAAAGCUUGAUUUAUCACCUGUAGAAUAAAAAGACAAAAAGAUCCAAUUUUCUUUCUUUUGCAAUCGCAAAUGGAAAGGAAGUCCCAUUAUUACAAGUAAGAUAAGACAUUCCAAGUUGACAAUAAUCUUCAAUUCUUCAUGUCUACGUAAAUUCUCAAAAUGGGUUAACAAGGCAUUUCUGGUCUCAUAAAGCAUUACCUAUAUGCUUUCUGCCUAACAAAAAUCUUAUCUCAAGCAAGUCUUUGCAUCACACACUCAUCUUAUCUUCAGAUUGCUAUAAUUGGGACUAUGAUUGAGUUUAUAUUUUUGACUAAUUCAUCCCCACGUAACGUGGCACAGAAUAUUCGAACUUCAAGGUUGAAAAAAAAAAAUUGUAUCAAAGAGCUUUCGACGCUCAAGUUAAUCAGUGACCAAAACUCAAAAAUUUUAUCUCAUAUGUCGCAAAAAUAUUUUCAACCUUUUUGUGACAUAGCAAAAUCCUCAUUGCACUUGUAACAUUCGAGCCUCUGCAAGAUGGUGGUAGCCCCGUAUCAACGUUAGGCCACAAAAUUAAAUAAAACAUUCCAUUGGCUGUUUUGGUUUUUGUUCAUUAACAGGUCACAUCUAACAGGAGUCCAUAUUCAAAGGCUUCAAUCUUCAAGCACCUUUUAUGGCCUCUUUUCCUCUCAUUAUUGGCAUACAUGACUAUGAUAUUUCACUUGUUCAAAAGUUUCCAUGAAAGAUAUUGGUAGAUGAUUGAAGGUGAUGAAUAGACUAAAGAGCAAAAAACACUGCAGAAUUUGCCAACAAGGCAGCAAGCCUAACUCUUGUGCAACGGUUAAAAAUAGUUCACAAAAUUUUCCACACAAGCAAACAUAUCUGAGGCAAAAUUCACAACCGUAUUUUGAAGAAAGAAAUUGCAAUGAAUGAAUUUGAAAUUGAAGUAAUUUUGUGAAAGCAGCUGCUGCUUGCGGCGGCCAUGUGAGCAUGUCUAAUGGGGGGAAAAAAAAAGAGGAGCGGAUUUAUGUCAAGAUUUUCUAUCAUUUUGAUGGUCUCUGCCUGCUUUGUCUGCAUUAUACACAUCAAAUUUGAUGUAACAUUUCCUUAAUUUUGGUGCAAAAAUUAAGUUGAAUUUUUUGCAAGAGUAAGAUGCCACCUAACUUGCUGCUAUAAUUUUUCCAUCGAGUCAAUAAUUUGAUAAAUCAAAUUGGGUUAGGUAAUUUAUUUCCCCCAAAAAUAAAAGGGUUAGGUAAUUUAUUUGAGGACAAAAAAAAGGGUUAGGUAAUGACUAAUGACUAAUGAUUUCAGUUUCUUCUAGGCUUUUUCAAUUAUAUCAGUCUAGCUGGUGUGCCAAUGAUUGCAUAAGAAGAAUACUUGUCAGAAUAUUCAAAUUUCUUUAUACUAUUUGAGCUUUUCUUUUUCUUUUUUUUUUUAAAAAAAGAAAAAUAAUAAUAAUCUUACAUUGAAAAACUUCUAAACAUACUAGUUUAAAAUUUAAAAAUUUAUGUAACUUGUCAUCUUUUUUUUUUAAUUUAAAAACUGUUUUGAUAUCAAUAAAAGGUAAAUGAAUAUAAUAAUUUUGAAAUACCCAAAUUCGAUGAAUCUUUCUAUGAUGUAAUUUUGUUGUACAUUGAGCAAUGUCAAUUAGUGACAGGUAUCAUUGCGUCCAAGUGUGAAAAAAUAUAGUGAUAUAGAUAUAUAUAUAUAUAUAUAGAACACGUUCAUAGAUGUUCAACACUUCAAAAUAUAAAUUUGAAACUAGAUAAUACUUUAGUAGUUGGUAUAUUUUUUCUUAUGAAAAUAUACUUGUUUUUUCUAAAAUUAUGUUCACAUUAAUUUGCUGGGUCCGCCUAUGUUGCAAUAGUUGCAACAUACAACAAUUUUUGUCAUUUUGUGUUUGAUUACACUACACUACCUUACCUUAUAUUUUUUGCAAAAUUCAAUAGCCACUAAAAGUAACAAACUUUUACAUAUAAGUCCAUUUUUUGAAUAAAAUGACAUUUGAAAAGAAUUUUAAUUUAUUAUUAAUAUCAUUAUUAUUAUAUAAGAUUAUUUCUAUUAAAUUUUAUUAUUUUUAUUUAUUUUAAUUAUUAUUAUUUAUGAUUAUUACUGUCAUUAUUAUUAUUAAAAUUUAUUUCUUUUAUUAUUUUAAUUGUUACUAUAUUGUAAUUAAUUCAUUAAUAUUAAUAUUUAUCUUGUUAUGAUUAAAAUUAUUGUUAUUAAAAUAUAUUAACUUUAUUAUUUUAAUUAUUAUUAAUUAUUGUUGUUAUUAUUAUUAUUAUUAAAACUUAUUAAUAAUUUUUAUUAUUUUUAUUAUUAUCAUUAUUAAUAUUAUUAUUUCAGUUAAUUUUGUUGUUAUUAUUGUUAUUGUUAAAUUUUUUUUAAUUUUUUGUUUUAAUUAACAUUAUUUUCAUAAUUAUUAUUUUUAGUUUUAUUAUUAUUAUUGUUUAAUUAUAAUAUAUACAAAUAAUAUUAGGGACACAAUUAACAAAGGGCAUUUUAAUAACUUAUAAUAGUCUAUUCCAAUUAUAAAAUAAAGUAAACACAUCAAUGGAAAUGUUGUUCAUUCCGAUUCCGAUUCCUAUAGCUCAAGUAAAUAACUUAUUCUAAUUCAAAUUCCUUAUUACAAUUCUAGCUCAUUUCAAUUCUUAUUUAAUAAACGCACCAUUAGAAUGUGUUUAGAACAUAAUAUUGUAUAUUAUUAUAAUAUUGUUCACAUUAAUUUAUUACUUACCUAUGUUUGGAAGUUUUAAAAGUUAGAUUGUAGUCAAUUAUAUAAUUCACUACAGUGUGCUAACUUUUGUCUUAAUUGAAACAUUAAAUAUAUUUAAAUUAUAUUUUUAUUUUUAUUAUAAUAAUUAUAAUAUUAAAAAUAAAUUAUAUUAUAAUAUUAUAAUAUUAUAAUAUUAUUUUAUUAUUUUAUUAUAUCAUAUUAUAUUUAUUUAUUAAUAAUUAAUAUAAAAAUAAAAAUUAAUAAAUUUAAAUAAUGAGAGUAGAUCUAGAAAUGAUAGUAAUAAUUAAUAAAUUACGAAAUAUUUAUGAAUUUGUGGAAUAAAUAAACGAGUAUUAAAUCAUGCAUUGUAAUUGCCUGAUAUCAAUAAUAAAAGUUCUCUUAAAUUUCAUACUUAUUCCUUAUUCAUAUCAUUUAACAACUAAGCUAAUAAAUAAAAUAAUAAUUAUUAUAUUUUUUCCUGGCAUUUCAAAAAAUAAGAGGGAUUGCAAUGAAAAAAACCAAAAUAAAUACACCCUGCUGUUGGAUUUGCUUUUACCAUUCUUGCCUUGGAUCCAAUGAUUAAAUUACAAAAUGACAAAAGUAGUGGUAUGUUGCAACUGUUGCAACAUAGGCGGCUCCUAAUUUGCUUAGAUGAAAUAUGUAAGAUUACUUACAAACUUAAUCUUUUGAUGACCUAACUCUUUGAUCAAAAGCUAUAAUAUCUUUGCUGGCCUAACCAUUGAGUCGUAUAUAUCUCUCUUACCAAGGGAAAGACAAAUGGAAUCAAGGGCCAAUAAUUUUGCUUAAAAUUUCUCUUAAUUCUCUCACUUUGUCAUUUUUGGGGCAACUCAAAUCUCUAACUAGCCCCUCAAAGCAUAUUGGGACCCCAAAACUACUUAUUGCUUUGGCCACUAUCAAAAUCUUACUAUAAUUGAAAAGAAUAGAGGCAAAAAUAAUGUUGACUCCGUAUCUCAUCAUGAACUUGACACUAAAAUUAUGUAAUUGAUAGUUAUCAAAUAAUUAUGAUGAUGAUAUAUAAUACAUCCCAUAUCCCUAGGACCCAUAUAAAUCAAAUUUUUGUAGAGUAGUGAUUACUUUACAGUCAUGCUGGUAGUGAUUAAAGCUGGCCAAUGCCACAUGAAGACUUGCGAAUUAUCUUCAAGGAGUGUGCAAUAGCUAAUGAGGUCGAGUUCUUAUUAGAUUUGAUGACAAUGAUAUGGGUAUAUUGCUCGAUUUCAAAAUACCCUAAAAUGAAAUAGGGCACAAAAGAUUAUGCUUGAAUGAGUAUGCUUGUUUUUUUUGGGGAAAAAUAAUUAUUCAUCGGUAGUUUUAGGAAAAUAUAGUUUGUUUCCUUUCAAUUAUUUCCUUGAUUUAUUAUAGUUUUAAAUAAUUAAAACCAAAGAGUUUGCUUCAAGUCUUUCCCCUUAUUUGGGUACAACAAGCAUUUUUCUUAUUGAUUAUCUGUGUUGGGUUGUCAUACAAACAUUGUCCUCAUUAUUAUUAUUAUUGUUAUUAUUAUUAUUAUUAUUAUUAUUAUUGUUAUUGUUAUUAUUAUUUUUUACAAAAUGAUUGAACCAACUACUAAAAUGACUUCGAUGUCCUACACUAAUAGACAUUCAUUGCAUUUCUUUGCUUAUAAAACUUAACGUUAUGAUAUUAAGUACAAUUAAUAUGUCACACAAUCAUUUCUUGCCCACUGAAAUAUUAAUUGUUAGGAAAUUAAAAAUAUUACUGUGGGCAGUAGAGCAUGCUUUUGGAUGCUUGUAUUGAUCGACCCUUCAACAAAACAGAGAUUCCAAGGGAAAUUCAAAAUAAAUAAAAAAUUAAUUAAAGGCUAAAAGCUCGAAGCAGAAGCCAAAUUGCAUACAAAGCUUGAAAAGAAGUAAAAAGAGAAACAUUUUAAACAGAUAUAUGCGUCGAUCUACAGAAAUUCCAUCUAAUCAUUAUCUCAUGGCUGUGGACCUAUUUCUAAUUAAUUCAAUCAUUUAACGAAUAUGGAAAAUCAUUAAGUUGAUUAGAAAUGUCCAUCGAAUUAAUGCUUCAAAGUUUUAUGGUUAAUUACAUAUUAGAUUCGUUAGUUUCUUAUUAAAAAAAAAAGAAAAUAUCUACUGUCCAUCCGUUUUUUUCAACUUUUUUAAAAAUAUACAAUUCCUUCUUUUUUUUGCUGGAAUCCACCUAAAGUUAUAUUUUGUUUCACUUUUUCACUUCCGUUUGGAAUCCGUUAAGAAAACUAACGGAAACUUUAAAAAAUGACAAUUUUACCCCCCAAAACGAAAAUUACAAUUUCACCUUAAACAUUACAAAAAAUAAUCAGAUUAAAUCUAAUUAUUUUCCCCAUCGGUCAAUAAAGAAAUUAAUUCCACAACCAUCAAAUGCAGGGUUUUUUUUUAAUAUGUCUAUAAUUAGAAUGCUAAAUUAUAACAGUAGUAUUAAAAAUAGCCCAAUCUCGCAAACCAUCAAUUGAAUUUAAGAUAAGUAUAGUUUUAUUAUUCAUUGAGUUAUAAUCUCUAGUAGUUAAGAUUUUUUUGUACUUCAUUAACAUACCAAUAAUGAUAUUCAUCAUUAAAUCUGAUUAUUUUUUGUAUUUUUUAGGGUGAAAUUGUAAUUUUCAUUUUGGGGGUAAAAUGGUCAUUUUUUUAAGUUUCCGUUAGUUUUCUUAACGGAUUCCAAACAGAAGUGGAAAAGUAAAACAAAAUGUAAUUUUAGGUGGAUUUCAGUAAAAAAAAAUUGUGUAUUUUUAAAAAAAUUGAAAAAAAUAGGUGGACGUUGGAUAUUUUUUCUUAAAAAAAUUUUAUUUUAUGAAAUUUUUUAUUUUAAUUAAUUUGUCUUGUCAGCUUAGCUCAUUGUUGAAACUCGAAUCCGGUCCUAAUUAAUUGAGUAGGGAUAAAUUUGUGUCCCACUAAUAUAAAUGAAGUAGAUAAAUUCUGAUUAAUAUAUCAGUGUUAAAAAAAAAAGGGGGGGGGGGGGUCCUAUGGCCAGUAAUUAUUGGGAACUUUUUUACGCGGGAAUGUGGUAACUGGCUAACUCAUUCUUUUAAUCAUUGCGUCUCCCACUAAUCUCUCAUUAAACUUUCGAAUUAUUUAUUAGUCGAUAUUUUAAGUACAUUUCUUCACUUUCACAAAGCACUUUUUUUUUUUAUUAAAAAAAAAAGCACUUUUUGUUUAAUAAUAUGCAUGCGCUCAUCGUUAAUUAUCACUCCAAUAAAUUGAAUUCGUCGCUGUAUGCAACGUAUUUGUAUUUUCGUUAGUUUCUUUUUUUGUUUUUUGUUUUUGUAAUUUGUGACGUACGAAAGACAAAUUGACCAAAUUGUUUACAAAUCAUUUAUCCCUCCAAUAAAUGAUGUGCACAUAAAUAGCGAUCAGAUAUAUCUCCUUUUAAUUUUUUUCUACUCCUCAAAAGAUUUUUUUUUUCUUUUUAAUAACCUCUCAAUUAUAUAGUUUUUAUGUUCGGAUCACAAGAUUACAAUCUUAUUUGAUGUUGAGGUGCCAAAAAAAAUUAUAAAUAUGAAAUAAAAGCUAAAAGUAUGUAGUAAAUAUAAUUUUUAAAUAAUAAUUUUGAGAAAAUUAAUAAAGAUAUAAUAGAGUUUUUUUAUCGUAUAAGUAUAAAAUCAAACCAACUUAACUUCUAAAGUAGAAUAACUAAUAUUUAGUAAACACUUUAGUACUGUAAAUUUUUAAGGUACAACUGUCCAAUCUUAAUGUCAAACAUGAUUUAUGUCUGUGUAAGAGUCAGUUUAUGGACCUUGAUGGUGGUGAUUGCUCCAUUUUGAUUCAAAUCGUCUUGCAGCAGAGGUCCUAUAAUGAAUAGAGAGUGUAUCUUGUGUAACAGGCACACUUCUAAUUUGUAGCACAUGAGAUUAUUUUUAUAUGAAAUUUUUCUAUUGUAUUUAUAUCCAAUGUGACUUGUUUAAUUGUUUUUGUCAUUGUUUGAUUUGGCCCUUCCUUUAAAAAAAAAAAAAAAAAUUCCUCGAGCACCAAUGUUGACUCUACUAAUUGGUACAGAAACAAGUUUUCGUAAGAGAUUAAUCUUCUUAUCUAAAACUUAAAAAUGCAAGUAGAUUUGAAUAAGGGAAAAAAAGAAAAAAGAAAAUAUACUUUCGCAAAGAAAAUCUGAAAAAAAAAAUUCAUAUUAAUAUGUUACUGCAUUCAAAUUUGAGGAUAAUGAUGUUGUAAAAUCAAUUGAUGAUAUGAAUAAAUAUGUGGAGCCAGCCAUACAAUUUAAGCAUCGAUUAUUUAGUCAAAAGAUCAGCAAUUAGAAAGAAGACAGAGAGCAUAUUAUGGGGAAAAAGUUAACAGGUCCCUCCACCCACUAACAAAUUAAACUUGCUUGUUUAGCUCAUCAUAAGAUAAUAGAAGUUAAAUAGGAGCAAAAAAAAAAAAGAAAAAAAAAGAUGAGAUUUUGAAUCAACUUUUUGACUCGUAAAGAUUGAGUAGUUCACCAAAUUCUUGGCUGAGCGGUCGUUUUCAUUCAAUUUGCGUACAUCAAUUCACUUUUUCGUUUCUCAAAGCCAUCCCUAAUUUUCAAUAAUUUUUUGGUAAAAAUCAAAUCACCAAACGCUGCAAUGCAUAUCAUAAGUUAAAACCUUUUUUUUUUUUUGGUUAAGAACUUUCAAAUUUUCGAAGUCUUUCAUCAUUGACCCUUAAAUUGGUUAAAUAGUUUAUUAUUAUCAAAAAAAAAAAGAACCAAUAAAUCUAUUUGAAUUGCAUCAAACUCAAAAAUUGAGUAAAAUAAAAUGAUGUGUUAGUGUAGCUUCUUCUGUAAUUUGAAUUUAGUGUUGCUUCUUAUGUAAUUUGAAUUUAGUGUUGGUCAAAAUUUUACCGAAUUAUUUUGUGUUUGGUAACUUAAAGAAGAGGCAAUGGUUAUGAGUUGUAACGAUUUAUAAUAGAAUUUGUCCACUUUGAAUGAAUCUUCCUUUUCUACAUUAAUAUUAUUCUUGAAUUGACCAACAAAGUGUUGGUUCCAUUAGUAAUGGAGUCUCCUUAAGUGACUUGACUGAGUUUGCUUCCCAGUUCGAGUCGCAGGGAAGUCGCCUUUGUUGAGAGAACAUGUGCCUCUCGGUUCGAGCGGAAACUUCUAGUUUGGGUUGUGGUACGGGUUUAAAGGUGCUUCCCACAGUUGGGACCCUCCCCAGGAUAUCUCGUGAUCAAAACCAAAAAAAAAAAAAAUUAUUCUUGAAUUGUCAUUUUCUUAAUUAUGUCUCAUCAUGCUGAGUGCUAGAAGUAUCUUUCAAAAGCAUUAUCACAUAAUACAUUCCUACUAUAUCUAUCUAUAUAUCAUCCCCAAAAAAUAUGACUUUAUUACGAUCGUUGUACGUAUGUUACGACGUAAGGUUCUAAGUGUUUUAAUGCAUUGAAGCCCAAUGAUUUGUUAUAUUUUACACUUUUAUUUAAGAUGGUAUAUAUAUAUAAAUAAAAAUAAAAAUAAAAAUUGAAAUUCAUAAUAAAAAAUUUACCAAUUUGUUCCUCUUAGAUGCAGAUAUUUAAUCAUUUUAAAAAAUUUAAACUCUCAGCUCAAGAAUAUAGGGAAGAUAUUUCGACUACUAGAUUAAAGAUUGGUUUACUAAAUAGUAAAUACACGUUGAUUUAAUUUUUAUAGAAUCUCAAAACUACAAGAUUUUUUUCUGUAACAUAAAUUGCACAAACCUAAAUAGAGGAAACUAAAGUUAAUAUUCCUCGCUUCUUUUGAUAUAAAAUGGAUCAAGUCUUAUCAAUUGGCACCUAAGAAAACAAAUUAAAAAAAAAAUAAAAAGGACAGGCAAUGGAUUUGAUUUAUCGUUUUAAUUUCAUAUAGCUGGACUUUCUUUUCGGAAAAAAUAGAGCCAAUGGGUUUUCUCAAAUGGAAUUACAAAAUUAUAUUUGAUUUUUUUACCUUAGUUAUAAAUCAAUGCUUGGAUACGAGACUAGCUCAAGUUCACUAAGAGUUUCUCCAAAAGGCUCUAUUAAUUUUACUUUUUAAAUAUUUAUUUAUUUACUUAUGUGGUAAAAAUGAGAGUGAAAAAAUAUUAAUCUCCAAAGGGCUAUUCAAAUAUAAAUAAGUUAAUAUUAUUUAAUUAAAUAAAUAUUUUUCCAAAGGAAAAAUGAAUGGUAAAUUAAAAUAUUUUUCUCUCUUUCUAAUAAAAAGUAAUAAAAUAUAAAUUGAAGAGUGAGAAAGUAACUCUACAAAAUUGAAAAGAGAGAAUAAUUUCUUAUUUGAAAAAUCUUAAUUAAAUUAUGUUUUAAAAUCUUAAAUGUUGAUGUGACUUUUCAAAUAAAUAAUAAAAUUUUAUUUGGAAAGUUUUUAAAAAAUGCUCUAACCCAUUGCAUUGAAUUGUUGAGUUGUCAAUUACGCAAAAUUUUUUCAUAUCCAAUAACAAAAGUAGGUGAAAAUUUUGUGACUCAUAAUUAACUCCCCCUCCAUAAUAUAUUACGCAAAGGAUUAUCAUCUACGCACUCUGCCAUUUUAGGACAAUAUUAUCACAAAUGACAGGCAAUGACAACUGUUUAACGUGACUUUAAUGAUAAAUGUCCAACAAUAAAGGGUUAAUAACAUUUGAUCCUCUGAUUUAUUAUGUUUUCAUAAAUUAAUCCACAAACCUUCUAUUAGUAUCAAACAAGUCCUUCACUCUUUUUUUUUCCUAAUAAUUUUAUUUUAAAGGGCAGAUUAGGAUUCUUUCAUAAUUUGAUCUCUUUCUGUAUAAAAAUAUAUGUAAGUGAUUGAUAGUUAACAAAUAAAGAAAAUAAAAAAGUUAAAUUAUAUCCAUAUACUAUCGCUUAAAAAUAAAUGACACAAUAUUUUUAAAAUUUUAUGAGAACUCAUAUCAAGAGAGAAUUUUUAUCUGUGUGAAAACCCACAGAUAAAUUCACACGACUUUCAAAGAUUGAAAUUGGAAUUAAUUGAAAGAAAUGUAAAUUACCAAAGAAUUCAUUAUUUUACUUAUUUAUGUUUGGAUAUUUACCAUACAAACACACUCAUGAAACAAUAUUUAAUGCCAUUUAUGUGACAGUUACACUCACAGAGAUUACAUAAGAAUACACAGAGACAUGGACAGGCUGCAAAGACAGAGUAAAAAAAAAAAUAGUAUAAAGUUUUGAAUUUCAAGCAAAGUACAGACGCAAUAGAAUCUCUGCAACUCUGUAACAGAAAUCAUGCGAGUUUUAAACAAAAGCAUGCAAAAAAAGCAGCUGAAGUUUUUAGUUGCUUUCAAAGUUUAGAAGGGUCAUUUACAACACUGCGAAAUGCCAAUUCUUCAAUUGUGAAGCUUUAAAUGAUUUUGUAGCUGUUCCGCCUUUCGUGCUUUUGCAUUCUUGAUCUCUUUUCCUUAGAAAGACAGUUUAGCAAGUAAACCAAUUUGCCAGUGUUCCCACAUUUGUUAAUCACAACAAGGUAACACUAAGGUGUUACACAUAUAUUUGUCUCUUGAGAUCAAUUUGUUUUUUGUAUUUUAUUUUAUUUUUUUUUAUUUUGCUCUUGGUGUUUACGUGUUGCAGAUCUUUGAAUUUGUGUGAGCAAAAUGAUAAGUGAGAAACAAGCAGAUGAAGAAAUGGUGUCAAGCUUGAAUGAGAGUGAGAGUCAAGAGAAAGAGGAACAAAUUAAGCAAGAUGACUCAAAGUUUGGCCUCAAAAGCCUUCUUUGGCAUGGUGGGUCUGUUUAUGAUGCCUGGUUUAGCUGUGCUUCUAAUCAGGUACAAUUCUACUUGAUGUCCAAAAAAAGAAAAAGAGGGAAAAAAAAAAAAAAAGAACCCAUCUCAUGUUUGUAUUUUGAAUUACAGGUUGCACAAGUUUUGUUGACACUUCCAUACUCAUUCUCUCAACUGGGAAUGCUAUCAGGCAUCAUAUUCCAAAUUUUCUAUGGGAUUAUGGGAAGCUGGACUGCAUAUCUUAUUAGUGUUUUGUAUGUGGAGUAUAGAAGCAGAAAAGAGAAAGAGAAUGUCAGUUUCAAGAACCAUGUCAUACAGGUUAGCUUUUCAAGAACAAACCCCCAAAAUAAAAAUUAAGAUAAAAAAUCAUUUUUUUUCCUUUUUAUUGUUUCAUAUAAUCCCAAAACCCUUCUACAUAUAAUUCAAAUUCACUUGUUUUUGUUUUUGCAGUGGUUUGAAGUGCUAGAUGGACUGCUGGGUCCUUACUGGAAAGCUGUUGGAUUGGCCUUCAACUGCACUUUCCUCCUCUUUGGUUCUGUUAUCCAGCUUAUUGCUUGUGCAAGGUCUUAUAAUUUUUUUUCCCUCCCAAUUUUGAUCUUAUUUAUUUAUUUUCAAUUAUUGGGUUUUGUUUCAUUUGAUCAAUAAUUUCUGUUUCUCUUGUUGUGAUUUGCAGUAAUAUAUACUAUAUAAAUGACAAUUUAGACAAGAGAACAUGGACAUAUAUUUUUGGAGCUUGUUGUGCCACCACUGUUUUCAUACCCUCAUUUCACAAUUACCGACUUUGGUCUUUCCUUGGCCUUGGUAUGACCACUUAUACUGCUUGGUAUUUGACCAUUGCAGCUUUUGUUCAUGGCCAGGUAAUAUUAUUCGGCGGUUCUGAUGCUUCCUGGGUGUCUUCUUUGCUUAUCAGCCGUUAGAUUUGAGCUUUAUCUAUUUACAGGUUGAUGGUGUGACUCACUCAGGCCCAAGCACGUUGGUUUUGUACUUCACCGGCGCCACCAAUAUACUCUAUACUUUUGGCGGACAUGCAGUGACUGUGUAAGUGAACAUUUAAAAAAAAAAAAAAAAUCUAUUGCAAAUGCCUUGAGAGUUAAUUAUGGUUUGCCAAAUCUUGUCACUGCAGAUAUUAGUCUAUGUUAUGCUUAAUUUUGUGUUUGGUGCUGACAAAAAAAGUCAUGCGGGGUAGGUAUAUAUGUUAUAACUUUAGGUAGAUGGUCCUCAUCUGCUCUUUUAAAUCUAGAUGGUCCUCAUUUGCUCUGCUACUUUAAUUGAAGAUUUUUAUCCCCUCUUUCAGAGGAUCUUGAUUAUGUUUCCUUGCUAAAGACUAGCAUAUCUAUGUGAUGUGUCCCACGCAUUCAUUUCAGCCUGACUUUGGUUUGACUAAUAUUUGAUAAAGUUUUUAAUUUAUGGAUGUUAAAUUACAGAGAAAUUAUGCAUGCUAUGUGGAAGCCACAGAAAUUCAAGUCCAUAUAUCUUCUUGCCACCCUGUAUGUGUUCACUCUAACCAUUCCUUCUGCUGCCGCUGUUUACUGGGCUUUUGGUGAUCAACUCCUCACACAUUCAAAUGCCUUCUCACUGCUUCCACGAAGUCGAUGGCGUGAUGUUGCAGUAAUCCUAAUGCUUAUUCACCAGGUUUGUACAAUGUUGUGAUGACAACCAUUUUUUUUUUAUUACAUGUAGCAAUGAUUUGGCAUGACCAAUAUUUUUCCUUUUAUUUUGCAGUUCAUAACAUUUGGCUUUGCAUGCACUCCACUAUAUUUUGUGUGGGAGAAAGUGGUGGGAAUGCAUGAUACAAAGAGCAUAUGUUUGAGGGCACUUGCCCGGUUGCCUGUGGUGAUACCAAUAUGGUUCUUGGCAAUUAUAUUUCCUUUCUUUGGUCCCAUCAACUCAGCUGUGGGGGCUCUCUUGGUCAGCUUCACCGUCUACAUCAUCCCUGCUUUAGCCCAUAUGCUCACUUAUAGAUCAGCCUCUGCUCGACAGGUGAAUGGUCCAAUCUUUCAACUUCUAAUCUUCAAUUUAUAUCUACGAGCUACCCACUGCCUUAUAUCUCGUGCCACAGCAAAUUUUCUCAUCUUUGAUUGGGAUUGCAAUUGUACAAAAAAAUAUAUGUUUGAUAAGUCCAAUUGUUUUAUUGAUUUGUUUCCGGCCUCAUAAUGUAGGUCAGAGGUGACUGAAACUCCGGAUGUUAUUGUAGUUCUAGGCCCACUCGUGGAUUUAAUGCUUGAAAAGAUGCAAAAUUAUAAUCUUGAAAUGAUGUUGGCGGUCCUUUCUCAUCAAUUGGUUAUGUGUUAUUUUCACACUUAUGUCCCCGCAUUACUUCGUAUCUUAGAUUAGCUGGAAGACUUGAACAACAUUUGAUGCAUCUUUAGAGAACGACAUCUCUUACAAGUCUCUGAACAUAGCUUUUCCUUCCAUAAUUCUUGUGAUUACAGAAUUCAGCGGAGAAGCUUCCGUUCUUCCUCCCAAGUUGGACGGCAAUGUACGUGGUGAACACAUUCAUACUGGUAUGGGUACUAGUGGUUGGGUUUGGACUAGGAGGCUGGGCUAGUAUGACCAACUUCAUCAAGCAAGUCGACACAUUUGGACUCUUUGCCAAGUGCUAUCAGUGCCCACCGCCAGCCUCAGCUACUGCUCACUGAUUAUGGGCCCACCCCACAUUACCACCAAAGCAUUUCUAACGUCUUCUGGUUUCUUGUAUUUUCCCCUUUUGUUAUUUGUUCAACAUUUCUAUGUCAAUAUUAGAUGCUUGUGCAUGUUAUAUUUUCUUAUUAAGUUUAGCCUACAAUUUCCCAAUAUAAUUAUAAAGAAUAAUUCUAUAGGAGAUUGGUGUUGUAUCAUUCACACAGUACAUAAAAUUGGGCAGCUUAUGAUGUGAGUCCACAUGAUUCCAAAACACAGUUCUAUUUUUUUUGCCUUUCUCCUGUCACGUGAAUCAUGAUCCGAUACUCUUAUGUCUUGUUGCUUAAUUCCAUUCUAUGAAGUCUGACGAGUUAAAAUGUGUUUCUGAAUAAACAUCCACAUGCCAAAAGCACUUUCUAAAUAAGCACUUCGCCAUGCCAUGCACGAUAAAGAUGAUAAAAACAGCUCUUUAUAAAAAAGCGUUUUCAAGGAAACGCGCUUUGUUAGUAUAAAGGAAAAGCUUUAAUGAGCAAUCACACGUUUUCAUUUCUUUACUUCUUUUGCUUGCGAAGCUUAUUGGUUUGUUUCUUCAAAACGCAUAAAAAUUAGAGGAAAAAUUAAAAAAAAGUGUAAAAAAGCUCGGAGGAAAAAGAAGCUUUCAAUUUUCAAUUUACCAUUGGAGGCAUAAAGGUGUAUAUCAUCAUAGCGUUAUCAUAUAAUCUCCUUUCACUUUAUUCACUAGGCUUUAUAAAAUGUAUAUUGAGAUGAGCGUGAUUUAUAGCAGUGAAUGUCAACCAAUCAAUUCCCUUUUCUUUUCUUUUGCGUAAAAAAGAUGAUAAAAGUUUUUUGAUCUUAUAUAAGAUCUAGAAUAUGCAAUCUAACCUCUCAACUAAGGGUAUAUUUACAAUGCAAUGCUGUCUAGUACAACACUCUCCACACUCUGUUGAAAAUCUUUAAUUUUUCGUUCCUCUAGUCUAAUUAUGCACACUUGGAUAGUCAUUAACUUAUACAGACAUCCAUGCUUUAAACACUACUGAUUUAAGUAACAUAGCAUAUUUUUGCAGUAGAAAUAGAGUUAACAAAACAUAAAACCAACAGCAUAUUCCUCCAAGCUGUACUGGGUACCUACGAAAUUUUAUGCACUUAGAUUAUGCUUAAUGCAACACUGGCGUAUAUAUGCUUCAUUUAGAUUGGUUUAAUGGCUAGUUUAGCUAAGGCAGCGUCAAACUUUGGUAGUUCAUUCUCCAACUUUGUUGCUUCAAUCAGCUUACUCUCCAUGCAAUCCUCUUCUUUCUUCGCCAGUGCUUGCAUAUUCUCAAUCAAGCUCAGAAGUCUACUCUUCUCCAUCUUAUGAUUCUCAGCUUUGAUCUUCAACCCUUUUAUCUGAAAUUGAAACCACUUGAGCUCUGUCAUAAUAUCACCUAAAUCCACCAGCCUUCUCCUUAAUGCAAUCACAUUGUACCCCAAAUUUUGCAACUCUUCUAUUGUUUUCCAAAGCCUUUUCGCUCUAAUCCAGAAGUCCAUUGCUUGUAGAGAGUGAAUUUCUAUCACUGUUUCUUCAAAAAUUCGAUCCCAUGCUGAUAUCAAGUUAUUUCUUGUUAGCUCAGAGUAGUUUCGAAGCUGGUAAAAAUGUGGGCUCUGCGGUAUUCCGUUCAAGAUUCGCGUGACCAUUGUCAACGGCAACGGUGAAUUGGACAAUGGUUUUUUCUCUGCAACAAUUCAAUGAUCAAAAUAUUAAGCAUAAUUCAACAAAAGAAACACACUUCAGGCAGAAAAUUAACCUCACCGCCAUCUGAUUUUGCCUUAAACGACACAAUGCCACUAGGAGCUUGCUCUGCAGAUAACGUGCCAAUGGCAUCACUCGUAUGCAAAGGGGAGCUUGUACGACAUUUAUUACGCCUUUUAUCAAUCCUUUCCUUUUUCCUGAAGCCAAGAGCACUACUGCUGUUGACGGCUGAAAGCAAAGUUUCCAUUAAUUAGAAAAAAAAAAAAAAAACACUAAUGCAUGCGGAUGAUCACACUUGGAACGUACUAACAUCGAUCAUUGGACAAUGUACCAGUAAACAUUGGUAGAUAUGCAGGUUUAAAAGGUUUCUGAGAGAUACACAGUAAAAUGUACAACAGGUGUUGACGCAGAGGAAUCGAAGAGGCUUAAAUUUGAGUCUGCUUCUGUCAUGUUUUAAGAGAAUCAAAACUUAGCUAAAAAACAGUAAAGUGUUGAGAGUAGAGAGAGUAAAAAAAUUUACCAGAAGAGCCAAAGACGAAGGAUCCUGCUGAAAAUGCAAGAAUUAAUCAGAACAUGCAUACGAUAUAAUUUUUCUCGAAUCUAAAUGUCUGUAUUAUUUCUAACUUCAAUGCUACAUUGUUAUAGUCACGUAUAAGUCUACUCCGCUCUAGAGAACGACUAUACUAACAUCUGUAAAAUAGUUAGCAAAUGUUGAAGAUGAAUCAUGUACAGAGAUACAUAUACUUUGGAAUUGAAGCAUCAUCAAUGGAGAUACCUACCAGAUGUUGAAGAAGCAAAAUUUGCUGUAUUAGAUUCAAAAGAGAAUGAUUUUGAAAAUGAAGCCAUGGCUGCUAGUUUAGUUUUCUUUUCCAGUUUCUUGAUGAAUUGGUAAAGAUAAUUAGUAAUGCGUCUUCUAUUAAUUCUUGGGUUGGGUUGAUUGCAUUGGUGUUGAUGUGGGCGGUUAAAAGCUUGGCUUGACUUUUGACUCAACCAUGGAAUGUAAAGAGACUUUUCUUUUGAAAGGUAAUGUAAACGGUCAGUUUCUCUAUUUGCUUGCACUCUGCUAUUUAUUUUACAUUCCUUCCAUCCGAAGUUUUGAAUUUUGAAAGAACUGCCGAUAAAAACGAGGAGUCGUCUUUAUAGAGACGACGUGUCGCGCAAGGAUGAAGGUGUUAUAAGACAGAUACGUCGUUUCUUCGAAUUUAUCGGACGAUCCAGUUCUGCCUCUACAAGUACAAGCGCAAGCCAGGAAAAGAAGGUGAAAAAGUGAUAAUAAAAGAAUUGGUACCAACUAGUUUUGCUAAUGUAUCUUUGCAAAUUAAAGCAAUGAUUUCUUGGAGUAACGAUGAGGAAGUAGUGGCGUUUUUGCUUCAAUUUUUUUUUUUAAAUAAUAAUAAUAAUGAUUAAUUUCAUGCAGUCAAUAAAAUUCUGUUAACUUUUGCUGUUAAUUUUAACUGAUGGAGGGUAAAAUUGAAAAAAAAAUAUUUUUUUUUCAUAAAGCCAAAGAGAUAAAAUAUAUUGAUUUAUAUAAUAUUUUACAAUUCAUAAGAGAUGUGCUUCUUAAACUUUGAUUACCCAAAUCAGUUUGAUUCAAAAAGAAUUAAAAAAAAAACUAUUUGAUUUACCCAAAAAAUGUUAAUUAAACUUUGACUUAAUUUUUUAUAUAAUUUUCUAUUUAAAAAAUUAAAGAUUAAAAAUAACUGAGUAGGGGCAAAAAUAUGAUUUUGUAAUUAAACGUAGGGGUAAAACUAUCAUUUUGUAAUAAAUUAUAUGGACGGCAACAUUAUUUUGUAAUUAAUUGUAGGGACAAAAAAAUCAUUUAAAACUAAUUUACUACUCUCAUUAAAGUUAACAGCAAAAGUUAAUAAAAUGUCACUUACUUGGAUUUUUUUAAAAAAAUAUCACCGUUUUUAAAUUUAUUAAAAAUGUGUCACCCAAAAUAAUUAGGGGUUCGGCUGUGUUGCCACUCUUGCACUUUACCACCACCUUUGUCUUUUGUGAAUUGGUUACUAUAAAAUUUUAUUGAGCCCCUUGCACUCUAUUUUAUUUAGAAUUUAAUAUAAGUAUUAAAAGGAAAAAUUAACCCUCAUAUUUGUUAAAAUUAAUAAAAUUCUAAACAUCUCUUAUUUAUUUUUUUUCUCGUUUCUUCUUCACUUCUCUUCACUUUCUCUCUGUGAUAAGCUUAAUGGUGGCUUCAAUUGUUGCUAAAUGUUGCUGACUAACGGUUGAUUUAAGGAUAAUCGCUUGUAGGUUUGGUUGUUUGUGUGAUGGUUCUUGUGGUGGAAAUUAUAUGCAUCAAAACAAAAAUCUUCAAUUUGAUAUGAGAAGCUGAAGCGAGAGCAAGAGAAAGCAAAAUGGCGAUGGCAAGGGUGAGCUCAAGCCUCGCUUAUCCAGAGUAAUUCUAUGUUGCGACUUUAUAUGUUGGCUUCGAUGGAUCUCCAGUUUCCUUUGCCUGUAGUGAUGUGGCUGACGUGAUGUUGUUUUGAGCGAGGAGAGAAAAGACUGAUGUAGGUCGAGGCUGUCGGUCGUGGUGCAGCUAUGCCAUCUUGUCGACGUGGAGCGGCAUGGUGGUACCUAGUGGCUGGUAGCUUCCCAACGUGGGUAUUUGGGUUGAGAGGAGACUAGAGAGAUGAAGCCAUGAGGGUUUGUUUUGAAUUUAAUUUUGGAUCGAUUUCGAUCAGAUGUGGCAUUUGUGAGUAUUUAGGAUUUUUUUUUUAUUUAAUGUUAGUUUUUUUAAAAUUAUAAGUUAUAAAUCGAUUGAUUUUGUAAUUAACCCGAAUCGAACACUCGUCCAUGGCUCAUAUCCUUUAAAAUUUUAACAUUGAUGAGUCAACUUUUUUUUUAUGAUAAGUAAUGGAAGAUCAGCCAUCGUAAUUCCUUAAGAGAAGAAAUAGUUUUUUAGCAUUCAUUUAAGGGUAUUUUUGUCUUUUUAUUGAUAUUUAUGUGUUAAGAAGAUUAAUGUGGCAUGGUUGCAAAUAAAGACUCUUUUAAUAUUACAAAAAAAUAGUAAAUAAAAAGAAGUUUAAGGUGGCCACUUGGGCUUGUAGUCCAGUGGUGGACCAUUGCUCUCAAAAUUAAGUAUGAUUAUGAGGGCAAUGGUUCGAGUCUCCACUGACUCAACCUCCCUCAAUUAAAUAUGCGAGUGGAGUAGAGACAUCCCUCCUCCGUGAGGGGUAUUUGGAUGGGCAUGUACUUCAUAGAAUAAAAAAUAUAAUAAUAUAAGUCCUAUGUAUAUAUAUCUGAUUGUAAAUAUCAGUGUAAUGACCCGCUGUCAUAGCAGUUGUAUAUAUCUCUGUGUAACCUGAUGAUUAAUCAGUUUUAAAAAAAAAAAAAAAGGUGAUAAAUUGAAUUUUGACAAUGAAGGUAAGUAUAAAGUGUCAUAAUACGUUUUAAUAAAUUGUAUAUAAAACAGGCUCAAUAAAACAUUUAUAUAAGUCACAAAAGACAAUGGCCGUGGUAAGCUAGCUACAACAAUGGCAGCAUAGCAGAACCCAGAUAAUUAACCCCCCCAAAAAAAAAGAAAUCAGAUUUUAAAUGAUAAAAAAUAGUAAGAAGUUCCAAAAAUCACACUCCCUCCUCCGUUCCGUUGAGUUCUCAAGCUCUCUCUCAACGUUUUCUUCCUUCACCCUCUCUCUACUACAUUCCCUCUGAGCUUUCACACGGAAGCCUGCAAAGAAUCGCCGACCUGCGGUUCACGCUGGUGACGUCACACAGGUAAAUUUCUGCUCGCUUUAUUCUUUUGUUUGGUUUGAGAUGUUUAUGGAAGAGACGUACCAAAAUUACUAAUGUUCUCUAUUUCUAUUUUCCAAAUUUCUUAAUAGAUUGAAAUAUAAUAUAUAAAAUCAAUAAUUUGAUAGAAAAGUUUAUGAUAUACUCUUUUAAGUUACUUAGUUAAAGAUAGUAACUUUACUCUCACUGGGUAAGUCUACCGUGAGGCCGCCGGAAAGUCGCCGUGAAACUGCAACGAUAAAGUAAGCUCAAAUGCAUUUCGACAUGUCCGCUGAAGUUUUUGUUUUUUUUGUUUUAGAUAUGAAUUGAAGUUUGUAAUUUUUCAGCUUUGGGCAAAAAUUGUAUUAUUUAGAUAAUUUUUCCCUUCAAUUUUCAUUGGGUUAUAGGUUCACAAAGGGGGUGAUUCACUCACAAAUGGCGCCGAGAAGAAGACCAAGAAAGGUAAUCAUAAACAGCACUUUUUUUUGGUUUCUCACUGUCUUUAGUUUUCAUUUACCGAUUGCUAAAACGGGUCUCUUUUUCUUAUUUUCAUUUUGGGUUGGUUUUGCUGAAGAAAAAUACCCGAAUGCAAGCAGCACUUGAAGCAAUGCAGGUAUACGGGUUCUCAGAGGAUUUGAUUCUGAAGAAGUUAAAGGAACUCUUGAAUGUAUGUGUUCUUGUUUUUGUGUUUUUAGUUUUAAGCAAAAACAUGUUUGGGUGUUAGUGUUUUUGACAAGGAAAAGUUUGGUUUUUUGGUCUUAGGUUUAUGGAGAAGACAAUUGGUUUUUUAUUGAAGAGAAUUCAUACAAAGUCCUCCUUGAUAACAUUCUUGAGGAAGAGGAGCAACAAAAGGUAACUUUUUUAAUUUUUAUGUACUAAUCUCACCUUCAAUGCUAACGAAUCAUGAGUUUUAGGGCUCCGUUCUAUUUUUUCAUCUUUAAUUUUCUUAGAAUGUAAAUUAAAGGUUGAUAGAUGGAGUAGAAAAGAGAUUGAUAAUAGCAAGUCAUCUCCCGAAUCAUAUUGCAAUUUUGGGAUGGUUGCAAAAGACACACUUAAGAUCAAUUUGCAUUUAUGGCCUUUAUGUUCAUUAAUGGUCUCAAACAUGUUGACUGUGGGUUUUUAUUUUUUUAGGUUGAGUCAAUUUGAAAAUGUCGGGUAUUUAUAAGGGGCUAAACUUUGCCAUCCCAUCUACUCCAAUUUUGGUUGUUUAUUUUAUUGGUUUGAUUCUGCUCUGUUCAGUUUUUAUUUCUAUCUGUUGUGAUUGAAUAUGAUAUUUUGCUGCUAUUUAAAUGAUAUACUUUCUUCAAAGGAUUCACCUUGAGGAUUCGCAUUUAGUUCCAACUUAGCUUCUCCUGCAAUUGUUUGAGCCCCCAAAUUUCUUCUAAUUCAUAUUUACUUUCCAUCUCUAUAUUAAGGAUGUUAAUAUGAAUUGAUUUUGUUCUCUGCAUUUUCUUUUAUUCCUCUGUUGAAGGAUGAUACACUUGCUGGGCCCUCAACUGCCGCUCUUCCACCUCCCCACUCAGACGCGGAGGCUUUAGAAAUCGCUUUGCCAGCUAGUGAGGCCCUGGAGUCUGCACCACAGACAUAUGGGACUUCGGGUACUGCAUUAGUGAGUUAUGAUUCAGGUAAAUGACUUCACAUUUCUCACUCUCAAAGCUUGACACUGCAUACUUUAAGAGGUAAUAUAUUGUGCCCUCCUCCGGAAUUUUUUUGUUGCCUGUGCUCAGAACAUAGGUUUUUCAGUCAAUUCAAUCACUUGGAUUAUUCUUUUUUCUUCCUUUUCCUUUAUACCAGCCAAGAACUAUGAAUUGCUUUCAGGUUCACAUUAGUAUGAAUUUUGACUAAACUGAACUUUGUACAAAUUGCCUUGUAUAUUUAUGCUGCAAAUACAGCACAUCAGCUACGCUCUUUUUGAUAGAUUGCGAUGAUCGUCUGCCAAUGCUCGGAGAUGGAACUGGCCAGAAAGUCCUAAACUUGGAGCAGAACUCAGGAGAACAGCAACAUCUUAACAUCCUUAAAACUUCUGAUAAGGAUUCUGGUGGUGUUGAUCCUUUUGGAGAUACUAACCUCUCGCCUCCACAUGCCAUUCACUCUGAACAACCGAAGCACACUGUUCCUAUUCGGAAACGCAGACCUUACAAUGGAUGGAUCAGUAAUGACGACGAGGUCAAUGAGGAGUGCUUUAUCAAGCUUGAGCCAUCACCAUUACCAGUAGAGUUGGCAAAGCUGCUUUUUGGCACAAAUAUUCGCAGUAGUCGCAAGAAAAGGUGGGAUUUGAGGCCUGAGGAUCCAGUGUAGGCAAGGGUCUCUCACUUUUCUCGUCUCUCUUGUAACUAUUCCUAAGAACGGAACUUCAAACUUUACUUGAAUAGCGAUUUUAGGUAAAAAGAAAAAAGCUUGCCAAUUAUGAAAAUGUUUGUAUAGCCUAAUGGUUUAUUCAAAUACUAGAUACCAUCUGGUUUUGAAUUCAGUCUUAUGUUUUUAUCUGUUCUAUUUUCUCUUUGGCAAGAAAACUCCACAUUCACAUAGUGCUAGUUUGGGCCUUAGAUUCCCUCUGGUUCUGUUCAAGGGUUUUUGCUUGCCCUCAUUAAAUAAAAACUAAUUUGAUGUUUAAAAAAAAAAUUGUUUUGAAAUUAAAAAUUUUAAAAGUUACUUAUCAGUGCUCUCAACGAGUAUGUUAUUAAGAAAACAAAAUGUUUUAUGUUCUACUUUGAUACAACCACUGCACAGCCGGUUGCUCAAGCUAGGCCUAAGAGACAGCCCAAAAUUCCCUUCAAGCUUCAAGAUUUUGUGCGGGAAUGAUGGUGCAACCGAUUACAGCACUUAGAUACUCUUAAGAUAUUGUGCUGAAUUUGUUAUUUAUUUAUUAUUGCAAUUCUGUUUUGCUGAGCUGUCAAGUUUGUUAGAGAGAAUAUUUUUAGCCGUUUCUAGAAUUUGUCUAUAACUCUCUUGAAAGAGUAUUUAAAGAAAUGAAUGAAUAAGAAAAGGACAGCUCCCUUAAAUCCAAAAUACAAUUCCUCUGUUCUUCUAUUUUCUCUAGUCUCUACUCUUUACUCUUUCUAAUUCUGGAGGACUCCACCCUCUAAAGUGGAAACUUAAAUUCCAGAACUUGUUGCUACUAUUAUUCUUAUCCAUCAUUUGGUGCUUUCGUUGAGAGAUGACAAACGAGGGUAUGCAAACACAAUAUCGAGCCCUUGAAGAACAGGUCACAACUCAAAGAAUCGACCCAAAAAUCCCUUGAAGACCUACACCAAAUCAUAAUACAAUAGCAGCAAAUUAACCAAAGUUCACAACAAAAUCUGCAAGGUGCACAACAAGCCCUACAAAACUCUAUAGCAGAGCUUACUGCCAGAGUUACCAUGAUGGCACCCUCUUAGAUUGGGUCCUCCACAAACCCACCAGCCUCUGCACCAUCUACACCACAAAAUACACAACCUAUACAAGUUCAACUACAACCCACACAAAGCACAAGAUCCAUACGAUGUGAUCUAUCGAUAUUUGAUGGAUCUAACCCCUUAGAUUGGAUAUUUCAAGCUGAAAAAUACUUUUCUUUCUAUGAAACCCCAGAAGAGCAGCGGAUUGAUAUCGCCAGUUUCUAUAUGAUUGGCCAAGCACUCUCUUGGUUCCAAUGGAUUAACAAGAAUCAACAAUUAUCUUCCUGGGCAGCUCUCACCCGAGCUAUUGAAAGCAGGUUUGGCCCUUCCUCCUAUAUUAAUCAUCGAGCUACUUUAUUUAAACUUACCCAAACAAGUUCUGUAGAGGCUUACCAAUCAACCUUUGAAAACAUCUGUAACAGAGUCACUAACCUUCACCUAGAUGCCAUUUUAGAUUGCUUCAUCUCAGGUUUAAAACCAACCAUUCAAAAUGAGUUAGCUAUUCACAAACCUUCUAACCUUCUUGAUGCAAUUGCUUUAGCCAAAUUGAUUGAAGAUAAAUUGCAAUCCUAUAACCAAAAAUCCAUUUCAUGGAAACCAACCAAUACACCAAUACCCACAACUACCCGCAACGAAACAAAUAUACGACUAGACCCACGGCCUCCACUUUUACCCCUUCCACCACCAAAUCCAUCAAACCCACCAAAGAUUGUCCUUCCUAUUCGUCGUCUCACAGCUGCCGAAAUGCAAACACGCCGUGCUCAAGGCUUAUGCUUCAAUUGCGAUGAACGAUUCAAGCCUGGUCAUCGUUGUCGCACUCGCCCUUUUCUGUUAUUGUUGACAGAGGAACCAUCAGAAAAUUUUCAAGAAGAAGAAAUAUUGGUGGAGGAUAUAGUGCCUAAGCAGCGAAUUCAGGCCCCAAAAUUUCUUUUCAUGCUUUAAUUAGAACAACUGGUCCCCAAACCUUCAGACUGAGUGCUAAAAUUAACAAUAAACCUUUAUCAGUAUUGAUUGACACUGGGAGUACGCAUAAUUAUCUCCACCCACGGUUGGCUCACUUCCUUCAUUUGGCUAUUAAGAAGACAAUCAGGUUUUUGGUACCUGUCGGCAAUGGGGAACGGAUUCGCAGCGACGGUCACUGUUCGAAAGUUAAAUUCGAGAUACAAGGUGUUGAAUUUGAAGCUGACUUUCAUAUACUAGAUUUUUCUAGAGUUGAUGUUGUUUUGGGGGUACAAUGGCUGGAGAAGUUGGGGAAAAUUAUCACUGAUCACAAAGCCUUAACUAUGGAAUUUACAUAUAAAGGGCAGCCUAUUAAACUUGAAGGAGCUCAAAAUAUUCGGCCCAAUCCCACUCCUAUAUCCUUUCACCAACUCAAAAGACUACAACAAACUACUUUAAUAGCUCAGUAAUUCCGUUUAGAACCCCAACCAGUCAAUUCAUCUUCAAUCCAGAAUAUUCACCAGUCCAUAGAUUCCACCUUUCACCAAGAUUUCCUAACACUACUAAACCAAUAUUCAGCUGUAUUUAGCAUCCCAAAAGGUCAUCCACUAAAUAGACCCCUCAACCACAAAAUCACUCUUCUUCCAUAAUCUAGUCCUGUGAAUGUUAAACCAUACCGCUACCCUCAUUACCAAAAAAAUGAAAUCGAGAGGCAAGUUCAAGAAAUGCUUCGAGAUCAAAUUAUACAACCUUCCACCAGCCCAUUCUCUUCACCCGUCCUCUUGGUUCGCAAAAAAGAUGGGAUAUGGCAAUUUUGUAUUGAUUAUAGAGCUCUAAAUGCCAUCACUAUCAAGGAUCGAUUUCCGAUACCUACAGUGGAUGAAUUACUAGAUGAAUUGCAUGGGGCCAUCAUCUUUUCAAAGAUCGAUUUACGGAGUAGGUAUUUUCAAAUUCAGAUCCACCCAUCUGACAUUCUGAAAACCACAUUUCGAACACAUGAAGGUCAUUAUGAGUUUCUUAUAAUGCCCUUUGGGCUGUCCAAUGCCCCCUCUACAUUUCAAGCCACAAUGAACUAUAUUUUCAAACCUUAUCUUCGUAAGUUCAUUUUAGUUUUUUUUUACGACAUUCUUGUUUACAGCCGAUCCUAUGAAGAACACCUUUAUCAUCUUAAAAUUAUUUUACAGCUGCUUCACCAAAACCAAUUGUAUGCUAAGUUGUCCAAGUGCAGUUUCGGCCAAUCUAAAUUAGAGUAUCUCAGCCAUUUAGUUUCAGCCCAAGGAGUGAGUGUUGAUCCCACCAAAAUUCAAGCUGUCUUAAAUUGGCCCAAACAAAAAAUAAUUGUUGUUGUGAGAGGUUUCCUUGGACUCACAGGGUAUUACCGACGUUUUGUAAAAGGGUAUACCCAAAUUACAAGCCCAUUAACUGAUUUGCUUAAGAAGGACGGAUUUGACUGGGGCGGAGCUGCUGACUUAGCUUUUGAGCGUCUCAAACGCGCUCUGACUGAAGUUCAUGUCUUAGCCUUACCAGAUUUUUCCAAAGCCUUUACAGUGGAAACAGAUGCCUCUGGUCUUGCUGUGGGUGCGAUUCUCUCCCAAAAUCGACAUCCAAUUGGUUAUUUCAGUAAGAAGUUGCCACUGAGACUUCAAUCUACAUCUGCGUAUAGUCGUGAGAUAUAUGCAAUCACGACGGCAAUUCGACGAUGGCGACCAUAUCUUUUGGGCCGACCCUUCACCAUAUUCACUGAUCAUAAAAGGCUCAAGCAUCUCCUUACACAAACUAUACAGACACCAGAGCAGCAAACUUGGUUGACAAAGCUGUUAGGGUUUGAAUUUACAAUUGAGCAUAAGGCCGGGGUUGAAAAUAGUGGACCCGAUUCUAUUUCAUGAUGGACAAGCGAAGCAUAAAGUAAUUUGAUGUCAAUUUCAGUUACUACUAGCACUUUCUUAACUGAAAUUCGAGAUGCUCUUGCUUUGGAUGACAUGGCCCAACAAAUUCUUUAAUCGAUUGAGAAAGGUGCUUGCACAAAUAAUAAUUUUUCUAUUCAACAAGGCUUACUCUGCCAUCAGGGUAGAAUUUUUGUUCCCAACAGUAUGGAGCUCAGAAAACGCCUUCUGAAUCUAUUCCAUGGCUCGGUGAUUGGCGGACAUUCUGGGGAACAAAAGACUUAUGCUCGAUUAUCAGCCAAUUUUUAUUGGCCGCAAAUGCGUCGUGAUGUACGGCAACAUGUCCGAGAAUGUUUAAUUUGUUAGCAAACUAAACCAGAAAAUUUUUGUUCCAAAGGACUUUUACAACCACUGCCCAUACCAUCAAGAGUCUGGGAAGACAUUUCCAUGGAUUUCAUUACUUCUUUACCACAAUCAAAUGGUAAGAUAGUUAUUUGGGUAAUUGUUGUUAGAUUGUCCAAGUAUGGUCAUUUCUGUGCCUUGCCCGAGGGAGUUACUGCACCAAAAUUGGCUGAAUAUUUCGUUCACGAGUAUGUUUGACUUCAUGGAUUUCCUAGAUCAAUUGUUACUGAUCGUGACCCUCUGUUUAUUAGUGAAUUUUGGCGAGAACUAUUUAAAUUGCAGGGAACAGAGUUACGGUCUAGCACUAUUUAUCACCCGCAAACUGACGGGCAAACUGAAGUGGUCAACUGUUGUCUCGAGACAUACUUGCGAGCAUUUACUGGAGACUACCCAAAUAGAUGGUCUGCUGCUUUACCAUGGGCAGAAUAUUGGUACAAUACCAGUACACAAAGUUCUACAGGGUUUUCACCAUUCUAAGUUGUUUAUGGCAGACCCCCACCACCUCUUGUAGGAUACUCCAGUGAAGACACCUCUAUUGAUUCUUUAAACUCUGCAUUGUUGGAUAGAGAAGCUCUAUUGGCUACUGUCAAGCUGAAUCUUCAGAGAGCACAAGAAAGAAUGCGCACCCAAGCAAAUCGUCAUCGUCGCAAUAAGGAGUUUGAGGUUGGUAACGGGGUUUAUGUUAAGCUUCAACCUUAUCAACAGUCUUCUAUUGCUCACCGUCUAAGUAACAAGCUUGCAAAGAAGUAUUAUGGUCCUUACCAAAUAGCUGCACUGGUUGGAAAUGUUGCAUAUCGCUUAUUGUUACCACUCGAAUCUCGUAUCUAUCCUGUGUUCCACAUUUCAAUCUUCAAGCUAUGUCCAAAUCCUGCUGAAGCUAUUCCUACUCACCCACCACCAACUACAGAAUCUUAUUCCAUACCUCUAUGCAUUUUGGACCAGCGAACUGUCAAGACAAAUAAGCAAAAGGUCAAGCAAGUCUUAGUGCAGUGGUCUAACACCACACUAGAUGAAGCUACAUGGGAGAAUUGAGAACCUUUCCACGCCACUUUUCCUCAGUUUAGCCUUGAGGACAAGACUCUUUUCUAUGGGGAUGGUAAUGAUACAACCACUGCACAGCCGGUUGCUCAAGCUAGGCCUAAGAGACAACCCAAAAUUCCCUUCAAGCUUCAAGAUUUGUGAGGGAAUGAUGGUGCAACCGAUUACAGCACUUAGAUACUCUUAAGAUAUUGUGCUGAAUUUGUUAUUUACUUAUUAUUGCAAUUCUGUUUUGCUGUACUGUCAAGUUUGUUAGAGAGAAUAUUUUUAGCCGUUUCUAUAAUUUGUCUGUAGCUCUCUUGAAGGAGUAUUUAAAGAAAUGAAUGAACAAGAAAAGAACAACUCCCUUAAAUCCAAAAUAUAAAUCUUCUGUUCCUCUAUUUUCUCUAGUCUCUACUCUUUACUCUUUCUAAUUAUGGAGGACUCCACCCUCUAAAGUGGAAACUUAAAUUUUAGAACUUGCUGCUGCUAUCAUUCUUAUCCAUUAUACUUCGGUGGAAAAUAAAUGUUCUUAACGAACCUUAAAGGCCAGCCCAUUAGCAAACGAGAUCCAUGUCUCCAUUCCAUGGUGGCGAAUAUCAAUAAGGUACAUAGUGCGAAAUAUCAGAAAUGUCCGGGACGGCAAAGCACAAACCUUUCAAGUCCAUGAGGAUAAAAUAUCAAAAAAGUCCAACUGUCCCUCUUCCUAACACAUGUCGGAUCCUGAUUGGUAAUAUCCAAAACGGAAAAAAUCUUUAGGCGGGUAUUUAACCAAGAAAAAAAAAGGAUAAUUUCAUUUUUCGAUACUCGUCAGCACUUGUCAGUCCUGAGAUAAGACUCGAAAGAUCUCCAAAUCUGCAAACCAAAACCUGAAUCAAAAUUCUCCAAUUUUUAAUAAUGUUUAAGUUUCAGUCGAACUAAGGCUUCAGUAUUUUUUUUCUUUUAUUUUAUAUUUCAAAAUUUGAAAAAUGAAUUUCACGACAACUUUUCGCGGGAACUUGAGUCUGCUAUCACAUUGCAGUUCUUGUUGUGAUAUUCGUUUUCAGCCAAUUUUAGCUUCUUUACAUGUCACUCGCCCCGUACGGUGCCGUUUAGGAAACUUCAACUCCUAUAAGGUUUCAAGGUAUCGAUUUUUUCUAGUAUUAUUGGUUGAACUCUAUUUAUUUAUUUUAUUUUUUAAUUAAUGGAUAUUAGUGUUCAUUUUAUAGAUUUUGCAGGAAGAAGAGAGAGCUUAUUUGUAGAGUAACUGAUACACAGACUGAACCGGAUAGCAAUAAUGAUAAGGUGCCUCUUUUUUAUUUUAUUUUAUUUCAUUUUAAUUUUUUGGUACUUGCUCAUGUAUAUUUUAUAAAAUGCCUGCUGUAUUUCAGUUCUGAGCAAAGAAUUUGCUACCAAAAAAAAAAAAAAAAGUAUCAUCUUUCUUUUCAUGAUGAACAUUUCUUUUAAUUGCCCUAGUAAAGUAUGAUCUUUUUUGACUUUUGUGUUUCUUCUCUAAUGAAUUGGUAUUUAUCUGAAUUUAUAUAGGAAAAAGAAGUUCAUGAUGGUCAAGAAAAUCAACCGGCAACUGCUUCCGAUCAGGAGGAUGACAAAUCCCAGCCGGAUUCUCAACUUGAUUCACAGCCCCAAGUUGAAAAUCAAAUAAAUGGCAAUGAUGUUGCUGAUACAAAAGGUGGCGUCCAGGUAUUUAUUUUGAGUAAUUAAAGUUAUGCAAAUGUGAACUGCGGUCACUAGAUAGCUUGUUUAUCAGAUUAUCAUCAUAUGAUUGAGGUUAGUCAGUGUGAUCUGAUGAAUUCACUUUCUACUCUUGGCCACUUGAUUAGAUUUUCCUUUCUUGUUGUGUCCACAUUGUUCGUAAGAAAAUUAAAUUUGAAAGUAGAGAUCUAAUAGCAUAUGAACGCCUGAGCAGAAUGACUUUGUCUAUUUAAAGUUUUGGCUCUCAUUUUGAGUUUCAUAACUCUUGGAUAUCAAGAAAACAGUUCGCUUUCAUUUGUAGAGAAUGGACUUUUCUUUUCCUCUCAUAGUUAUUGCAUUAAGUUUGUGUUUAAAGCAGGAUGAUGGCAAUGGAGAAGUUGCUAGUGGAUCCCCGUUGCCAGGUGUGAAGGUGAUUAUGAUUUGCACACUUUCAUAUUUAUUACAUUAGAACAAAGAUCAUAGUUCAAUGUCUUCUUACAAUACUUCUCUCCAUAUAUUUCCUGGAUAGCCUCAGCAACUGGAUGAAUAUAUAAGGAUUCCAAAGGAGACAAUUGAUAUUCUAAAGGACCAAGUAUUCGGUUUUGAUACCUUUUUUGUGACAAACCAGGAGCCAUAUGAGGUGGGUAUAUUACUUCUUUGGCUUUUUGUUUCUCAUUUGCGUGAAACUUUUUGUGAAUAAGUAGAGCUACAAAUGGAGUACACCACCAAGGUUAGAAACCCAAUGGUUGUAUAAAUAGAUCCUUCAAGAAUUGGGAACUCCUUAUUUAUUUAUAUGGAAUUAAAAUGACUCAUUCAUUUGGUGAUAUUAUGCUAAUUUUUCCAGUUGAUAGGUGCUUGCUUAUGGGCAUUUUAUUGGUUAGUUUAACUUGUUCAUUUACUUUUGAUAGGGUGGAGUUUUGUUUAAAGGAAAUCUGAGAGGACAGGCAGCUAAAACCUAUGAAAAAAUAUCAACUAGGAUGAAGGUAUGUAGAUAUGCACUUCGUCAAUAACAAUAUUUAUGAAGAUUUUGAAUUAUCUUUUGCUAGACUUAAUUUCUGCUCAAUAUUUACACAGAAUAAAUUUGGGGAUCAGUAUAAGCUUUUUCUUCUGGUCAAUCCAGAGGAUGAUAAGCCAGUCGCAGUUGUAGUUCCAAGGAAAACAUUGCAACCAGAGACAACAGGUGAUUGUUUAACUGUCACCUAGAAAGUUAUUCAUGCUGAUAUCAAGCUUCAUCAUCGUAACUGAUUUCCAUUCUUUGGAACAUAGAGAUUAUUAGCCAGCAUUGGUUUAUAUUGCUUUUGCAGCUGUCCCAGAAUGGUUCGCAGCUGGGGCAUUUGGGUUGGUUACUGUGUUUACAUUACUUCUCCGGAAUGUGCCUGCUCUGCAGUCCAACUUAUUGUAAGUGGUUCUUUAUGACUUUUUAAAGUCAUAUAUUCAAAGAUGAUGAAAUAUGGCCUGUUUUAACUCCUUCGAAAAUGCAACUAAUUUUCCUCCUUGAUUUUUCAUUUCUUCUUUGAGAUUAUAGAUUUUGCAAGAUUAUUUUGCUGUUAAUAAGCAUAACCCACUCUACACUACCUUAUUUAGUUGUUUUUUUAUAGUUUUAGCAAAAUCUUAGAUGCUGGGGAAGUACCUAAAAAGAAAUAUUAUUGAUGAUAAAAAUUAAAGACUAGGAUGGAGUAUAUAAUAACCAACCUAGCCGGCAAAAGGGCAACUUUAUGGAGAAGACCUGUCUGAAUUACUCUAAAUUUUCUACGAAUCAGUUACGUGAAUUCUGAGACACUUCACGUGGUGAAGUUUAGUUGUAUUUCAUUAUUUGACUGCAAAAACAAUGUUUGUGAUGCUGCAGAUCAACUUUUGACAAUCUCAACUUGUUGACAAAUGGCCUUCCUGGAGCUCUUGUUACUGCACUUGUUAUAGGGGUACAUGAACUUGGCCACAUUUUAGCUGCGAAAAGCACUGGAGUUGAGCUCGGGGUGCCCUACUUCGUUCCUAGUUGGCAGGUGAUAUGUUCUGUUCCAAACUUUUAGUUGGAAGAACUCCCCACUCCCUUUUCCCCAUUUUCUGUUUAUAUUGUGAAUUUUUCAGUACAGAGAAGCUACUUUUAUGGAGAAAAAAAUAUGCUAAUCAUAAUAAACUAUAUUAUAAUGGCUAGUUGGAUUUCCACCUGAAACUAACUCUUCAAUUCCUUCAAAGCUCAAUCACAGAAUACAACAUUGAUGUUGGAUGGUUUAAUCUUUGUUAAAAAAUGCAAGAUUGCCUCCAAAAGCACUUGAUCAUCAUGAUUCUGUAAUCAAGGCGUAAUCAAACCUAAAUCUUGGGAAACUUGUUUCAGACCUGAGAACAUAAAUUCUUGAUUGACUAUUGAUGCAUAUUAAUAGUGAUGUCCAAGCAAUAACAUAGAACACUGGCUUUCAUCAGCUGGCUGAUCACAACCAUGUUGGCCAGAAGCCAUAUUUACAUCUAUAAAGCAUUUACUGAUUCAUUAUGUGUUUCCUUUGCAUAUGUGUCAGACUAAUGAAUUGUUUUGGUGGCAGAUAGGCUCUUUUGGUGCUAUAACGAGGAUUAGAAAUAUUGUUUCCAAGCGUGAAGAUCUCCUAAAGGUUGCAGCAGCUGGACCUUUGGCUGGGUUCUCGUUGGGCUUUGUUCUUUUUCUUGUAGGAUUCAUAUUCCCACCCAGUGAUGGUAUCGGCAUUGUUGUUGAUGCUUCGGUAUUCCAUGAGUCGUUUCUUGCUGGGGGCUUUGGUAAGCAAUUGAUUUAAAACAGCUAUUUGAUGCAAAGAUAGGGUUUCCAUAUACAUGCUUGUUGAAUUUUUUCGAAUCUCGUGUUGAUCUGUUACUACAAGUUCUGGAAAUUUUGGUUCUUAUUUGACUUUAUGGCUGUGGAAUUCCUGUCUUCUUUUAUAGCAAAGCUUCUUCUUGGCGAUGUACUCAAGGACGGCACUCCAAUAUCUGUUAACCCAUUAGUCAUUUGGGCUUGGGCUGGACUUCUCAUAAAUGCCAUCAACAGCAUCCCUGCUGGGGAGCUAGAUGGAGGCCGAAUUGCUUUUGCCUUAUGGGGAAGAAAGGUAUUUCAUUUGAAGUUAUUCUGAUUACUGAAAAUUCUCUCACAAGCCUAAUGACCAUGGUUAGACCUUCAAACUUGUAAUCGUAAUUCCGGCUAUCUACUGAAAGUCAUAUAUGUUUAAACACUACCCAACACAACUAAUUAGAAAUGGGUAAGUGUUAUAAUGAUCAAGUUUUUCUGUUGAACAGGCUUCAACGCGCUUGACAGGUGUCUCAAUCGUGCUGCUAGGCCUAUCCUCUCUUUUUAGUGACGUCACAUUCUAUUGGGUUGUACUCGUAUUCUUCUUGCAGAGGGGGCCAAUUGCUCCACUCUCUGAGGAAAUCACGGAUCCUGAUGAUAAGUACAUUGCUCUCGGAGUUCUAGUUUUGUUCCUAGGAUUGCUGGUAUGCUUACCAUACCCAUUCCCUUUCUCAGAUCAAGCUGUUUCAAAUUUCUAGCUCAAUCUUCUCUCAUAUAUUAUACUCUGAUCCUUCUGAUAGAUGAGAAUCUGUCUCAGUAGGACUUUUUCAAGGGAGAUUCUCCUUGUAUAAUACAUCUUGGGCUGUAAGUUGCGUAGUAGCUGAAAUAUACGCGAUGUCAUUAAUCAAGAACAACAUAAACGUGUCAACAGCUGGCUGAUUUCUUGUGGAAGAAAAUAGCUAGUUAAUAAUUUAUUUUUACUUAAAGCAGAUAAAAUCCGACUGCAAUUUUGAUGCGCAUGUCAAUUGGCACUUAGUUUUGAUAGUCACUUUGACGCAAUUCGACAAAAAUUACAACAUUUCGACAGGUCUUAUGCAGCGCUGAGACAACUUUACCACUUCUUGUUUCUAUUGAUGAUACAAAUUUUAAACAAGGAAUUCAUAACAUUUGCACGGCAGCACGGGUAGUAAUAACGACAAUAAUUUCAUAUUGAAGAAUACGAAGUUAUAGCUAAUGAGAUGACUAAUUAAACUUUUCAACUUGAAAAUGAAUAAUCGGUUUAGCGGUAAAAUACCUCCCCUUCCAAUCCAUGACAAAGGUAAAGAGUUGGAGGAGUUAUUUCAUGUGUGUUGUAAAGAGACCGUCAAUUAGUCACCAAAACAGAACUAGUUAUAUUCACUUAAAUUGUUUCUCACCUUUCCAUCGUUAAGACUGUUUCUAACCCUAUGUUUCUCGGUCAGCAUCAUCGUAUAAAAAAAAAUUACAAGAAAUGUUGUAGAUCUAAAUAAGAUGCAUCCUAGCUAUUAUAAAGAAAUUGUAAAUAAGAAAAUGUACGAGGACUGCAAUGAAAUCGAGCAAUAGAAAUUAGAGAGCAGCUAGCAAAGGGUCUCGGUAUGGUUUCAUUCAAUAUUGAAUAUAAUUUACCAGGCAGCAAGGCUGUUUGUUAUGAAAAGCUUGUAAAGAAUUGAAGGCUGACCGACCGCUGAUAGAAUUAACCAUAAAUUCGAGUGGGUUCACCAUGUUAAUUGAUUAUUUUCAUUUCAUACGUGAACCCGGCUUGUGUUUUACUUCUUUUUCUGUCUCUAUCUUCCAAUCCAGGUGCACCGUUUCCCAUUCUUACAGAUCUUAAUUGCUUGACAAAUCCUGCGAGCCUGACUUGACUAAACUUGUUACAAUUAAUUUUUACUUGACUAAUCUCUGCGAGCUUUGCUUGACUGUUGAGAUGCAUUUAUAAACAUAAACAGUUUCUUUGGAAACUGGAUUCGCCCGAAAGAACGAAUUGUCAUAUUGUUGUGAAAAGUGAAUUGACUGGUAUUUUGUCUAUGAAAACGACUUGAGAGUGAAUUGCAUGUAUAAACUUCCAACUCCUGAUUAUAUAGCAUGUGAGCAAGCAGCCUCAAGUGUUUCUCAAGGGUGAGGUGCUGAACAAGUUUCUCAUCAUCUAGCAAAAAAUUAUAAACAAUUAUCAGAUUGACGGGCGUGCCGGGUUAGAAAAUGCAUGACAGGGAUGUUAAAGAUAAAAACGGCAAGCAAAGAAUUUUCAGAGAAGGAAAAUGGCGAAGAAAGACUUUAUUUGUUCGUGGUUGUCUCAUUUCCCCUUAAUAGACCUGUAUCUCCCUUGACAACGCGAGUCAGAGAAAAUUUUUAAAAUAUAUUUUUUUUACUGACUCUAAUACAAGGCACUUUGUAAUUGCUUCUCUUCUUCACAGUAGGGGUGGAAGUGCAAGUCUUUUAUUAAUGGAGAACUACUAUGACUAAAUAUGAUUAGGAUUUUGAUUCAUGCACUCAAAUCUUUGAGUAAUUAUCUGC
rnacentral:lncRNA from 1 species